rnacentral:rRNA from 1 species
AAGCGUUAAUCGGAAUUACUGGGCGUAAAGCGCACGUAGGUGGUUUGCUAAGCCAGCUGUGAAAUCCCCGGGCUCAACCUGGGCACUGCAGUUGGAACUGGCAAGCUAGAGUAGGGUAGAGGGGUGUGGAAUUCCAGGUGUAGCGGUGAAAUGCGUAGAUAUCUGGAGGAACAUCAGUGGCGAAGGCGACACCCUGGACUCAUACUGACACUGAGGUGCGAAAGCGUGGGGAGCAAACAGG